rnacentral:rRNA from 1 species
AGUGAACGCUGGCGGUAGGCCUAACACAUGCAAGUCGAACGGCAGCACAGUAAGAGUUUGCUCUUACGGGUGGCGAGUGGCGGAUGGGUGAGGAAUACAAAGGAACCUACUUUUUCGUGGGGGCUAACGUAGGGAAACUUAAGCUAAUAAUGUAUACGACGUAUGGGUGAAAUUAGGGGAUUUUGGGACCUUGCGCGAUUGAAUGAGUCGAUGUCGGGUUAGCUAGUUGGCGGGGUAAAGGCCCACCAAGGCGACGAUACGUAGCUGGUCUGAGACGAAGAACAGCUACACUGUAUCUGAGACUCAGUCCAGACUCCUGCGGGAGGCAGCAGUCGAGAAUAUUAGACGAUGGACGCAAGCCUAAUCCAGCCAUACCGCGUAGGUGAAGAAGGCCUUCCGGUUGUAGAACCCUUUUGUUGGGAAAGAAGAGCAGCACGUUUAUACCCCGCUAAUCUGACGGUACCCAAAGAAUAAGCACCGGCUAACUUCGUG